rnacentral:rRNA from 1 species
UACGUAGGGUGCAAGCGUUAAUCGGAAUUACUGGGCGUAAAGCGUGCGCAGGCGGUUAUGCAAGACAGAUGUGAAAUCCCCGGGCUCAACCUGGGAACUGCAUUUGUGGCUGCAUAGCUAGAGUACGGUAGAGGGGGAUGGAAUUCCACGUGUAGCAGUGAAAUGCGUAGAUAUGUGGAGGAACACCGAUGGCGAAGGCAAUCCCCUGGACCUGUACUGACGCUCAUGCACGAAAGCGUGGGGAGCAAACAGG